GAGAGCGAAAGGAGAAAACGGUGAAAAGAGUCAAAGGGAGAAGACGGUGAAGACUGGAGUGUGCUCGGAGCACAGCGAUGCCUCCAUCUGCUAUGAGCCACACUCUUCUUUGAUGGAAUAUCCCGGACAGCGGAGGGCAGAAGGAGGGAGAAGAAAAAGAAGGAGAAGAAGAAGAAUAACAGGACUGAGAAGACGGGACGGCCAGCGCUCGCCUCAGGAGGGUUCACGUAGAUGCGGUGCAUCAGAUAGGACAUGCCCUUCACCUGCGCCUGCUUCUGUGGCCUUAAUGGCUUCUGCCGCAGACGGAGGAAGAAGAAAAGUGAUCAAGUGGAGGAUGAGGAGUGUGAAGAGGUAGAGCAAUGGAGGGAUCAGGAGACACAGGUGUGACAGCAUUGCUGUCAGCCCAGCUGUCUUCGCCUUUUCUGUGGGAUUUAUCCCUAAUGGACCGAAAUGUGUGGCCUGGGUUAUCACUGCUCAGGACAGCCUCCACUGUCUGGUAUGCUGCCUGGCGACAUUAUAACAGAGAUGGUAAAGGGGGUUCAACGAGCACAGGCUUUUAUUUAAAGUUAAAAAAAGAAAAGAAAGAAAAGGUGGUUUCGAAUCAGGUACUGUAUUUUUCCCAGAGUAUCGGUGACUAACACUUCUUCUUUUGUACUUUUUAACCUGGCUAAACUCAACAAGCACAAGGCUGUCUUGAGCCACGCUCUUCAAGUUGAAAAUAAAAGCCUGCGAACUCCUCGCUCAUGCCCAUUACACAUCCCUGCAGCACUCUCAUUUCUCCCUUGGCAGCUGACUGAGAACUUUGCUUUUGCUGAUGUGAUUCCAAAAAAAGAGAAAAAAAAUCGUAUCUGUUUGAUUAAUUUCUUGCCAUAGCUGGCGUUCCUCACAAGGUGCGAAGAGGCGAUGGACUCUAGAAAUCCAUUAUUUUUCUGAGUCGCACUCCUCACCGCUCCUCCGCGGGGGCUGAAUUAGAGCCAAAGCUCGACUGAGCUCUGCACCUCCUCACCUACCUGCUUAUGUCAGAUCAACUUAGUGAAAACUUCAGCUGAGUGAGAAAGUGUGCAGUAAUUUCCAGAGUCACCCAUGGAGGGCCGGAGCCCAUCUCGGCUUUUCACGCUGCGCUGGGCUCCAUCUAAAGCCAAGCAGCUGUCCAAUCAGCAGCUUAGCUGGAGUGUGAAGAUAGGAGUCAGGG
ensembl:lncRNA